AGAAACUCGUGGGAUCAUCCAGUUGGGCUCCCAAUCCUUUCAUUUGUUUUUGUUUUUUUGAAACAGUCUCGCUCUGUCGCCCAGGCUGGAGUGCAGUGGCCAGAUCUUGGCUCACUGCAACCUCCCAUCUGCCAGGUUCAAGUGAUUCUCCUCCUUCAGCCUCCUGAGUAGCUGAGAUUACAGGCACCUGCCACCACACUCAGCUAUGUAUUUUUAGUAGAGAUGGGGUUUCACCAUGUUGGCCAGGGUGGUCUCAAACUCCUGACCUCAAGUGAUCUUCCUGUCUUGGCCUCCCAAAGUGCUGGGGUUACAGGCUUGAGCCACCGCACCUGGCUCCCAGUCCUCUCAUUUGUAAAGAUAAGGAUGCUGAGUCUAGUGAGGUGGAGCAGCUUGCCAAGCCCACACAACUAGUUAAGGCAGAGCCAGCAUCGAAGCCCACAUCUCUUGGCUCUCAGUCAAGUCCUUUCCACUGUACUAAAGGAGACCAUAUUUAGAAAAGAUUAAAAUGCUGAAAUUUUCUCUCCACAUCUGUAUUUUAAAGAAAAGGAAAUCUCUAAUAUGAAUUAUAGUCACUAUUUCCAGUGUUUAACUGAAAAAUACUGGAGCUCUGAAAAAUUUUCAGGUUUGUCCUUCAUAAUCUACAUGGAAAAUAAUGAAAAAGCCAACUCCACCUCCCGCUAUGAACAUACUGCUCACUGUCUGAUGUACUGGGUGUACAGCUGCUCUGAGCCUUUCUCUUGAACACCCUUCUAUUUAUUUUAUUGCAAAGUUAUUGUGGAUUUUGGAAUCAACUGAAGUAUUUCUUAGUUUACAACAAUGUUGUUCAAGGUUCACCAUUAAAAAUCAUAAUGGUAAAAAUACUAACAGCCCUUUCCUCUAUUAGAAAUAAUUUGAAAAGUACCUUAAGAUAAUAUUUCAGAGGAACAUUUCAACUUACAGCAUAUCUGACAUUCGUCAUCUUAAUGCCUGGAAAAGAAUUCUUGUCAAGAAGGAGUUUGUUCUUUUACUAGUAGGAAGUGCAUUACUCUAAGUAUAUAUGCUUGCUUCAGCUCUCUGGAGGAUCAGAGUAGUAAUAAUAAUAUAUUUCUUGAGUGCUUACUAACUGCUAAUCUCUGGAAUAAACCUUUACAUGCAUUACCUCAUUGAAUUCUCACAGCUACCUCAUGAGAUUGUUAUUAUAAUCCCUACUUUACAAGUGAAGUAAUUAAAGUUGAAGAUCAUCAGGUUGAUAAAUGGCAGUGACUGAAAUUUAAGCAAUCUCAGUUCAGGCCCUAGCUCUGUGUUAGCAUGUGAAGUCUCCUGAGGAAGAGACUGCUUCCCAGGCUCGACAUUAUUUGGUUAGGGCCUUGGUCAGGAAGGACUUUCUGCAUGGAGUAAUGACCAGGUUAAGACCUGAAGAGACUACAGUGGUGGAGUACAUGGGCAGUAGGCACAGACGGCAGGGGGUAACUGCUAUUCCCUGCUCAUCAGAUUCUACCAGCAUUAUGUCAUUAAUAUAGAGGAUCAGCAUGAUGGCUUAUGGAAUGGUAAAAUAAGGUAAGUUUUUGAAGACUAACUACAGCACAAUGCCAAAUUGUUGAAAGGAAGCAAUCAUGACCGUAACCUUCUGACUCUACUGGCUGAAGAAAAAUGUGUGUGUGUGUGUGUGUGUGUGUGUGUGAAUUGUAGCAUACAAGGUACCAGGAGCCUAGUUUAUUUGUUCCAUUAAAAAGCUUACAUAUGUAUCAGCAGCUAUAAGUGAAGUCAUCAUCUGAUUAAGUUAAUAAUAAGCUGUUGAUUUUUUUUUUUUUUUUUUUACUAAGGCUAAUCUGUUUUCUACAUGAUACAAAAGCACAAGUUAGAUGGGGACAGAACAGGAUUUACAACUUCAGGAUUUUUAAGUACUUGAUAGCGGCACUAAUAUCUGAAAUUCCCUCAGGAGUGCAGAAUUGAUUUUGAUUUACUAUUUUAGUAGUAAGGACUUAUUCCUGAGGCGCUCAGUUUGCUGUUUCUACCACAAUCCUUUUCUUCAUAGUUCAGGGAUCCAGUGUUGGGAUUCUGUCAGUAACUAAGUAUAUCUCUUCCAGUUGAGCAUUCAUGAAUGGUGGGAAUAAACACAAGUGUGUUCUUAGACACACAAGGCCCACUUUGAGAUGAAGUUGAGCCAAAACUCUGGUUAUCAGUUGACCCCUCAGUAUUUCCUUCCUUUCUUUUUUUUAUUGUGAAUGUUAUAUAUUUAUUUUUAUUAUAAAUUGAUAAUUUAUAAUUAUAUAUAUUUAUGGGAUACAAAGUGAUGUUAUGAUUUAUGAAUACAAUAUGGAGUAACUAAAUCAAGCUAACUGACAUAUCUAUCACCUCAAAUACUUAUCACUUUCUGUGGUGAGAACGUUUGAAAUGUACUCUGUUAGCAAUUUGGAAAUAUUUCAAAUACACUAUUAUUAAUUAUAUUCACUAUGCUGUGCAAUAGACCUCAAAACCCCCAACAACACCUUAUUCUGAGGUUUUGUACUCUUUGUUCAUCUUCUCCCUAUUUCCCCCACUCCCAGCCUCUGUAACCAGCAUUCUACAGACUCUCUGCUUCUAUGAGUCUGAUUGUUCUUGAUUCUACAUAUAAGUGAGAAUAUUCAGUGUUGGUUGUUUUGUGUCUGAUUUAUUCAAUUUAACAGAAUGUUCACUAAUUCCAACCACGUUAUUGCAAAUAACAGAAUUUCCUUAUUUUUAAGAGUGAAACACAGUCUAUUUUGUAUAUGUCCUCUCAGGAAAUCUAGUUGGGAGGUGGGUUGUACUUGGUUAGUCUAUUUAACAUUUCUAUUUUCUUAUAACAUGAAAUCCUUUCCUGACAGUAUUCUAAGGAUUUUUGGCAUGUCUAGUUUAUUUAGUGAAAGUAUAGUUAUAUGUAUAAAUUCUCAUUGUGAUCUUUAAUUCUGUUUCUUCUUCCCUGGCAUUCUUAGAAUCCUUUUUCUUGAUAUUCUCCAGGUUAAUAACAAUGCAAAAUAACAAAACAGUUUAAUUAUUUUGGUGCAUAUGCUGUUGACUUUCUGAGUUACUGUUUGUACCAUUCUCACCAUAAUAUUUGGGUUUGAUUUUGGUUAUUAAUCUCAAAGCAAUGAAAGAUGGAAGGAAUGAAGCAUGAGAAGACUCAACAGCCUAUUUAAAAUAUAUCUUGCUCAGGUAAAGCCAUUGAAGACUCUAAGGUAAGGCAAGUCUCUACUCAUCAGACAGAGGAAGAACUGUUUCUGCUAACCAGGGUGCCCCGCUCCCUACCAUUUUAGGCAGUUAGAGACCUGGAGUACUCAUGGUUAUUUUAGUGUCUCCAAAUGUCUACAUUUAAAAUUAUCAGGAUACCACUCUUUCCCAAUUAAUAUGCUAAAUUUUCCAGGAAGUAUUUUCUUAAAUAUAUAUUUUUUAAUUUAAAAAAAAUAUUUUUAAAUUGAUUAUACAAUAAAAUGUGUAUAUAUUUAUCAUGUAUAAUAUAUUGCCUUGAAAUACAUAUGCAUUGUGGAAUAGCUAAAUUGAGCUAAUUAACAUAUGCAUUACCUCGCAAACUUAUCAUUUUUUGUUAGGAGAACACUUACAAUCUACUCUCUUAGCAACUUUCAAGAAUAGAAUACAUUAUUAUUAACUAUUGUUACCAUGUUGUACAACAGAUCUUUUGAACUCAUUUCUUAUCUAACUGAAAUUUUGUAUCUUUUGACCAGCAUCUCUUUGAUCCUCCCCUCCUUUCCCAGUCCCUGGUAACCACCAUUCUAUUUUUUAUUUCCUUAAAUUGAACUUUUUUAGAUUCUACAUAUAAGUGAGAUUAUGCAGUAUUUGUGUUUCUGUGCCUGGCUUAUUUCACUAACCAUAAUGUUCUCCAGGUUGGUGUAUGUUGUUGCAAAUGACAAGAUUUUCUUCAUUUUUUUUAGGCUGAAUAGUAUUCUAUUGUGUAUAUGUACCACAUUUUCUUUAUCUAUUCAUCCAAUGAUGGACAUUUAGAUUGUUUCCAUAUUCUGGCUAUUGUGAAUAAUGCUGCAAUAAACAUGAGAGUACAGACAUCUCUUUGAUGUACUGAUUUUAUUUCUUUUGAAUACAUACCCAGUAGUGAGAUUACUGGAUCCAGAAAGGCUAGAUAAUCUUGUGAACUGGCUUAUGUUAAUCAUAACCUGAACUGGAAUUUUAAAUCCUAAACUAGUUGUUUCAUUUUUUAUUAGUCUCAGUAAUGUAGUUAAAAGUAGAGAACUUCAUGAACUUUACAUUCUUCAUUUUUACCAUAGUAUUUUAUUUUAGUGGCCAUUUGUUUCAUCGAGGCAUUGACUCCAAAAGACACUUCAUUCCAGGUGACCAUGGGCGAUAAGUAAUUGCUUUACCAAUGCAUAUUAUGGAUUUCUCUAGAUCCUACCAUUUAGUUUUAGUGGAAGACUAUCUCUGCUGAAGCCUAGUUAGAUCAGAUAGCAAAUCUUAGAUCGCUCUUUAUUUCAUACUCUGUUGUAGAGAUAUUCAGUUGCAAAGAAUAGACUCUAGCUUGUUUAAUAAAGGAUUUACUGUAACAUUAUAUAAAAUUCAGAAAUAUUGGAAUAAUUGCAGAAACAAGUUAUACUCUGAGCUUCGAGAAAGGAUUCAUAAAGGCAUGGAACAGAGCUGGCUGCAAGUAUAGCUCUGUUAAAAUGAGAAAACUGCCCACCAAAUUGGGAAGCUAUCACUAUAGGUACUAGCUUCAGAACCAUGCUGCAGCUGGAAUAAUCCACACUAGCAAAAUAAAUGCUUCAUUCUAUGCUUCUAUUUUUACUUCCUCAGUUCUGAGUUCAAGUUUCAAAACAAAACAAAAUGCAUGAAUUGGUGGAACUUAAAUCAUACCUGGAAGUGUAUGUACAAAUUCAUUCGGGAAAUGUAGUUUUUAUCACAUCUGCCUCUGUAAUACACUACAGGAAGAUCCCAGUAGAAGUUUAGAAAGCCACUUGGACAUAAGCAAAAUGGUGGAAUAGAAGAUUCCAGUCCUCACCCCUUCGCAGAAACAUCAAUUUUCACAGCUACCCAUGGGUGAGAAUACAUUUUGGGGAACCCUGGAGUCCAGCUGAGAGAAUCCAGCAUUUGGGGACGUGCUCAUUGAAGAGGGUAAGAAAAGUAGUUUCACUUUACCUGCAUCACCACCUCUUCCCGAAGGUGGCACAGCUCAGUACUGGGAGAGGUUUCCUCAAACCACAAUUUUAUCCGUGAAGGAGAGCAAGAGUGAAGUGCACUUGUGGCUUCAGAAGUCUUAUAGGACACUACCCUGAAGGCUCAUUUCUGUUUCAUGCCAACCAAAACACUGAAGGAAUUGGCACAGCUACAUGGUCUAAGGGUAGCUAGGAACAAGGACUAGUAGCACAUGGAUCUCAGCAACUGGAUAUGGUUCCUGUUAACUGGAUCAUGGACUCUACCAAGAGACACACCCAUGAAUUCAGCAAAACAACUUGCCUACGGACACCCCCAAACAGCCAACAAACAAUAUCAGCACCUUGCAUGUGCCCCUAUAUCAGUGCCCUGGAUGUCCCCAUGAAUGGCAUCCCAUGGUUAUUGUGCAUGAGUCCCUUCAUACAGCAUAACAAAUUUCAGGAACAGAAUUUCAGUAGCCAGCUUGACUCUGUAGGACUGGGAUAAUGGCCACAACCUUGAAAACUUCAGAACACUGUCUUAGGGAAAAUAAAUGAGAGACUCUCAGUAUCCAGCCUGGCUUUGUGGAAUUGAGAAAAGGCACAUAAUCCAGGGCUUCUCCUCCUAGGAUUAGGAGGAAAUUUUUGAAAGUGAGAAAAAAACCACCAGUCACAUACAAAGGAACCUCAAUAAAACUCUCAGUGGAAUUCUUAGCAGAAACUAUGCAGACUAAAAGAGAGUGGGAUGAUAUAUUCAAAGUGCGAAAGAAAGAAAAAAAUCUGUCAAAAAGAAUGCUAUGCUCAGCAAAGCUGUUCUUCAGAAAUGAAGGAGAAAUUAAGACUUUUUCAGACAAACAAAAACUAAGGUAGUUUAUCAACACUAGACUUGCCCUACAAGAAAUGCUAAAGGGAGUUCUUCAGGUUGAAAUGAAGGAUACUAAUUUGCAACAUGAAAACACAUAAAAUAUAAACUCACUGGUAAAGCAUUUUUCAGAGUAGCCAAGAUACGGAAACAAGCUAAAUGCGAAUUGAUGGAUGAAUAGAUAAGAAGCAUGUGAUGUGUAUAUAUAUUAUGUGUGGAGGGAAACAUGGAGCAUGACCUAACACAGCUACCAGCAUUGAUUUUGAUCGUAAGCCAGUUGCUCAAAGACCAGUGUGGAAAAGGCUUAAGAAGGAAGAGCACCAGAGGGAAAUUACCAUCUGGAGACAAAAUGACACUGGGAACUUGGAGGAAAACGUUCAGGCACACCGUAUGAGGAAGCAGAACACUGGUUGUAGGUUGUGUGUUGAUGGCUUUCUAUGAGUAAAUGCCCUGAAAAUGUAUGUGACUAAGCACCAUAAUGUGGAUUUCUGAAAGCUGAAUGACUUAAAGAAAAAUCUUCUUAUUUCUAAAAAAAUCAACAAGUGGUUUCUUUUAGCAAGUUCUUAAAUUUCUGUAAGGCAUGAAUGAUCUAUUAUGUAAGGAAAGUGUUUCAAUACAGGUAUUCUGUCCUUAAGUGUCAUGGAAACCAAACGUCCUAUAAUGCAAAGCUCUGCUGCGUGCAGAUCUGUCCUUCUUUCACUACUCUCUUCCAUAUUUAUAAUGUCUCUAUUCAUAGUUUAUGUGAAUAAUAAAGGCUGUGGAGUCCCCUGGAAUUCUUAUUUACUAUGCUCCCAUUUCCUUAAUUAUUAAAAGUUUUACACCUUCAUAAGAGAUGCUUAGUUGCUAGAGCCUCUCCAUACACUAAUUCCCAGAAGAUGCUUAAGACAUGAGUCCCAGGAAGGUAUCCAUUGCAGGAAUUCUGGAUAGGACUGUGAGCUUAUGGACAGACGUUGAUGCAAACUGACUUGAGACAGUGCAACCGUUAAGGUCCCUUUAGAAAAUAUUGGUAGCUGCAAAAUUUUGGGGGGAGAUGCAGUUUAUAUAUUUAUCCACAACAUUAUUACUAGUUUAUAAAUAAAUGUAAAUCUCAAACCAAAUUAUUAAACAAACACAGUUUACCAAGUAUGAACAAAACUGUGAAAAUUUGAUAACAUUCCCACUCUCAGUCCUUUCAAGUGCCCUUCUGAAGACCACCUUGCUUAAAACGUUUACUUGAAACAAUUAUAACAAUAAUCUGGAGGCAAGAUUUGGCUAAUACUAUAUCUGCCAUCACAAAAACAGAAUUCUCCACUGCACUGUCUGGACUCCAGUGCAAGUAAGAUCUAAGCCUCAAGCUUUGUGUCCAAAGAUCCUUUCAUGCAAGGGUGGGAGGUAUCUCUAAAUCUUUAGACAACACUCAUAUCUUAAAUACCACUACUGUUACCAAUAAGGACCUAUUUGUAAUAUUCAUUAUGCUUUCAUACAAGCAUGAUUUUCACAAAUGAAGCCCCAUUUCUUAUAUGCAUUAUUUUAAUCAGCAAAAAUCUAGCACUGACAAGAUAAAAAGAUAGCCGAAGUCCUUGUAGUACAUUUCUCUGAAGUGUGGACUUUCUGUUACAUGCUAGGUGAUCAUUCCUGGAAAGUGAAUUACCAAUUAAGGGUAUAAAUUAAACUAAAUAACACAUACAUAAUAUCACACAUCAAUGUUGAUAUAUUUUAAAGUAAAUUAAAGGUAGGCAAGUCACUAUUCACAAUAGCAGAAACAUGGAAUAAACCCAGGUGCCCGUCAACAGUGAAUUGGAUAAUGAAAAUAUGGUACAUAUGCACCAUGGAAUACUACACAGCUAUAAAGAGAAUGAAAUCAUGUCUUUUUGCAGCAACAUGGAUGCAGCUGGAGGCCAUUAUCCUAAGUGAACUAACGUGGAAACAGAAAACCAAAUACAUGCUCUCGCUUAUAAGGGAGCUAAACAUUGGGUACAUGUGGACACAAAGAUGGGAACAAGACACUGGGAAGUACUAGAGGAGUGAGUAAGGGGAGGAAUUAAAAAAAUACUUGUUGGGUAUUAUACUUACUAACUUGGUGACAGAUUCAUUCAUACUCCAAAUCUCAGCAUCAAGCAAUAUACCUUUGUUAAAAAUCUGCACAUGUACCCCCGAUUCUAAAAUAAAAGUAAAAAAGAAUAAAAAAAUUAAAAAAUUAAAAUGUGCAUUUGUUAUUCUGAAAUUUUCGGGGAUUAUAAGUGUUUAUGGUUUAAAAAGUUCAGGCUCAGGCCAGGCAUGGUGGCUCACACGGGUAAUCCCAGCACUCUGGAAGGCCAAGGCAGGCCAAUUGCUUGAGCUCAGGAGUUCCCAGCUUUGGCAACAUAGCAAAACGUUUCUACAAAACACACAAAAAAUCAGUAGGAUGUGGUGGCAUGUGCCUAUAGUCCCAGUUACUUGGGGUGCUGAGGUGGGAGGAUUGCUUGAGCCCAGGAGGCUGAGGUUGCAGUGAGCCAAGAUUGCACUACUACACCCCAGCGUGGGUGACAAAGUGAGACCCUGUCUCAAAAAAAAAAAAAAAAAGUUCCGUCUCAGGGAUAUUGCAGGAUUCAAGACUAGUAUUUUAGCCAUAUUGAGAUUUAAGUAAUUUUGCAUCAUAAUGAGGAAACAAAAACAACUGUGGAGUAGUAGCUCCAGAAUUUCUGACUCUAUUUGGAAGGAGGGUCUAGGAAACUUGUAUGGAAGCUCUGUUUGCAUAACAGGCCACUUUUUUACUUGGAUAUUAUGCUUAUUUGGAUGGUUUUGAACAUGAGAUUAUGGGUGAUCUGGCUUUGGUAUUUUCACCAGCCAAACUUGUGAAAUAUUACCCUUUAAAAAGCUGGGGUGGGUGUGUGUUUUGUUUUUAAUAAUUCAUCUGUAAUAUGUAUAAGGCAUUUAUACCACAUUUAAAAAUUUUUUGAAUGUUCGAUAAUUUUAAUCUAUAAGAGAGACUAAAUUAUUUGAUGAAUGGGAAGCUUUAUUGCAGAGUUGAUUUGAGCUCCACAGAUGACAGUAAGAGAUUGUAAAAGUUCAUUUUCUAUAACACUAAACAUUAGUGUAUACUAGGAUCUAAACAUAAUGGCAGGUCUAAUAACAAGUAUGUUUCUAGUCUAACAAUAUAGUAUUAUUUUAUAUUCAUAAUAUUUGUUUUUUCUAAGGAAGUAGUAAAUUGGAGUGUAACACAAUGAUCAAUCUAAGUGUUGCCAUAACAUUUAUAGUUUCAUUAGCCAAUUAUAAUCUUUGAUUGUGAUUUUUGAAAGCUAUUUACAAGGACAGCUUAACCAGUAUAAGACUUCACUUUUUCAUCUAUACAAUUACAAUUCUCUCUUGAAAGAAAAUUGCACUUGUAAAUCAUUGAUGAUGAAAGAAUCUGUAUAAAAUUUUAAGUUCUUCCUUAGGCUGCAAAUUAUAAUGAAAUUUUUAAACAUAUGGUUGUCAAUUAGUGUGCUUUUUUCCUUUUGAAAUAAACACUUCUGCCUUAAAAUCUUGCUCUUUUCUUUAGAAACUGAAGCCAUUUGUUCUUUGUUUUUAAAGUCUUUAAUCUUAAAACCUAUUUUAAAUUUCAAAAGGCUUAAAGCUUUUAUGUGGUCCCUUGAGCUUAGGCAAGAAAUAGAUUUUGGGAUCACUAACAUAUGGAAGAGAUUGGAUAAGAUCAUCCUGAGAGAGAAAAUGUAAUGAGAAAGAAUAGGACAGAGGAAAGAGCUCUGAGGGAUGCCAGCAUCUAGAAAAAAGGAAGAAAAGGAGUUCACAAUAAGAGAGAAGGGAAAUUUGGAUAUUAUGACAUCUUGAAUGCCAGGGAAAAAGAUGAGUCACUGUUUUACAUUUCUGGUUAGGUUAUAGAAGGUUGAAAAGACCAUUGAUUUCAUUGUAUCUAUGGAUAAACUAAAAAUAAUGUUUGAUAUGGUUUGGCUGUCUCCCUACCCAAAUCUCAUUUUGAAUUCUAGUUCCCAUAAUCCCCCAUGUGUCAUGGAAGGGACGUGGUGGGAGGUAACUGAGUCAUGGGGGUGCAUGGGGGUGGUUACCCCCAUACUGUUCUCAUGAUAGUGAGUGAGUUCUCACAAGAUCUGAUGGUUUUAUAAGGGGCUUUUCCCCCUUUUGCUCGGCACUUCUCUCUCCUCCCACCAUGUGAAGAAGGAUGUGUUUGCUUCCCCUUUUGCCAUGAUUGUAAGUUUCCUGAGGCCUCCUAAGCCCUGUGGAACUCUGAAUAAAUUAAACCUCUUUCCUUUAUAACUUACCCAGUCUUGGGCAGUUCUUCAAAACCCAGCGUGAGAACGUACUAACACAAUGUUUGUAUUUUAAGUCAUCAAAGAGUUGUAGAAUCAAAUAACUCUAAAGAAACUGAAUUCCAAAGUUAGAUAAACUUAUCUAGAUUAUCACAAGUCAAUGGCCACUUGCAUUCCGAGGGUAGUCUGGGGAUCUGUUUCCCUUUGUCCCAACAAUUUGAGAAAGAAAAUUAUUAGGACAAAGGGAAAACAAUCAAGCUAGGCUGACAUAAUGGAUUGAAAUCUGAAAGAAAUGUAAGAGCCCUGCCUUCUCAUCAAUUUUCUCCUAUGGGAAUUUUGCUGAAUAAAGUCACACUUGUUGUGAAGCUAAAGCUGCCCUCAAAAAUAUAUUAAGAAUAUCUGCAAUGCAGAAUUUAUUGGAUUGGAUUAAUAGCAGACUGAAUUAAAUAGAAGAAAUUAUUAGUGACAGGCCAAUAGAAAUAAUAAAACUGGAGUACAUAAAAAGAUAUUUUUAAAAGUAUCUUUUUAAUUUAAUUUAAAAAUUAUCAUUUUAACAGAACUGAACAGAAAAGCAAAUAUCUGAAAGAAAAUAUUGACAGUCUAGUAUGCAUGUAAUUGGCGUCCCAGGAGAGCAAAUGGAGAAUGAGGUAGAAAUAUAUAUAUGAAGAGAGACUAGCCAAUAAAUUUUAAACAAUUUAAAAUUUCAAAUUUUUAAAAAAGCAACUGGUUAAAAAUCUGAAAUCAUAGAACUAAAAGGCUUAGUGAACACCAGGCAGAGUAAUUACAAAGAAAAUCUUGCCUGGGUACAUCAUAGUCAAACUAUUUAAAACCAAAGAUAAAGAGAAAGACCUUACAAAACACCUUAGGUAUGAAUGAGAAAUGACUAGCUACAAAUAAUGAGGGAAGCCAGAAGACAAUGGAAUAACCUUAAAAUGCCAAAAGAAAAUCAAUACAUACUUCUUUAUCUAAUAAAAGUAUUGGUCCAUUUGCAGGUGAAAUGAAAAUGUUUUUAGACAGCAAAACAUAAGAUUAUUCAUCACUAGCAGGAAAACAUGAAGAAUACAAAAAUUAAGAAAGCUUCUUUAGGAUGAAAAGAAGUAAGCCCAGGUGGAAGACUGGAUCUCCAUAAAAAAAAUGGAGAGCACAAAAAAGGGUAAAUAUGUGGUUGAAUAUUUUAAAACAUUUAAAAAUUUUUUUUAGCUGUUUAAAGCAAAUACAGUAACAAUGCAUUGUGGAAUUUAAAAUAAUAAAGAAGUAAACUAUAUAACAAUAGCACAAUGGGAAAGGAGACAUAUAUAAGGUCCUUACAUUGUUUUUGAAGUUGUAUACUAUUAACUUGGGGUUCAUUGUGAUAAAAUAAGAAUUAAUAUUGUAAUCUGUAAGUAAUCACUUAGAAGCAAUAUGCAAUGAAAAAGCCAACAGAAUAGAUAAAAUGGUAUACUAAAACUAUUCAAAUAAUAUAUAAAAAGCCAUGAAAUGUGGAGCAAAGAAAAAGAAAAAGAGAAAGGACAAACAGAAAUCAGCUAGCAAGGUGGAAAACACAAGUUUAACCAUAUCAGUAAUUACAUUAAAUAUUAAUAGAAUAAAAACUCCACUUAAAGUACAGAAAAUAUCAGGUUGGAUUUAAUUUAAAAACAAGACCCAACAAAUCAGUUUAUAAUUGGAUGUUCUUUUAUAAUCCAGCCUAACAUUAUCUAGCCUUCAAACAUAAGAAUGCAAAGAGUUUGGAAAUAAAAGGAUUAGGAAGCUUAUAAUAAAAAGAUUAAUGUAGCUAUAUUAACAUCAGAUAAAGUGGAUUUCAAGCCAAUAAGUAUUACCAGGAAUAAAGAAAACAUUUCAUAAUAACCAAAGGGUCAAUUCAUUGGGAAAACAUGAUAAUUCUAAAUGCAAAUGCCCCUAGUAACAUAGAUUCAAAAUAUUUGAGAUAAAAUCAAACAGAAAUAAAAGGGAUAAUAGACAAAUCCAUAAUCAUAGCUGAAGAUUUUAACUCUCCUCUUUCAGAAAUCUGUAAAUGAAGUGUAAAAAAAAAAAUCAACGAGUAUAUGGUGGAUUUGAAUAAUACUGUCAAGCAGCUUGAUGAAAUUGAAAUGUAUAGAACAACAUACUCAGUAAUUGCAGGAUACAUGUUAUUUUUAAAUGCAUUCAAAACACUCGCCAAAAUAGGCCAUAAACUGGGCCAUAAAUUAAGUUGCAAAACAUUUCAAAGGAUUGAAAUCAUGCCGAGUAUAUUCUCUGACUUAAAUGAAACUAGAAAUCAGAGUUUAAAUAAUAACUGGGAAAUCCUCAAAUAUUUGAAAAUUAAGAAAUAACUUUUAAAAUAAACCAUAGGAGAUAUCAUAAGGGAAAUUUAAAAAUAUUUUAGAUCAAACAAGGAUGAAAAUACAACAUAUCAAAUUUUGUGGGAUGCAGCUAAAGCCUUGAUAAGAGAAGACAUUUUAAUACUACAUGCAAAUAUUAGAAAGAAAAAUAAUUUUAUUUAAAAAAUGUAAUCUUCCACUUCAGAAAGCUAGAUAGAAAAGAGCAAAUUAAACUCCAUGGUUGUAGAAGAGGAAAUGACAAUGAUGAGAACAGAAAUCAGUGAAACAGAAAACAGAUGAACAAUAGAGAAAACCAACAAAUCCAAAAGUCAAUUCUAUGAAAAGAUUAAUACAAAUUUGUAAUCCCCUAGCAAGGCCAGUUAAGAAAAAGUAAAAAAUAUAAAUUAUCAAUAUCAGCAGUAAAAUGAGAUACAUGACUACAGAUUUAAAAGAAUAAGAAUAAACAGGGAAUAUUAUAAACAAUUUUACUCCAGUAAGUUUGACAACUUGGGAAAAAUGUAUAUAUUCCUUGAUAAAUACAAUUUUUUGAAACUAAUCCAAAAAUAAAUAGAAACUAUAGAAGUCUCAUAUUGGUUAAUAAAGUUGAAUCUACAAUUAAAAACAUUUCCACAAAGCCCAGAUGGCUUUAUUAAUGAAGUCUACCAAACAAUAAAGGAAGAAGCAAUACAUUCUAUACAAGCUCUUUCAGAAUAUACAGGAAGAGAAAAUGCCUUCCAACUAGCUUUAUGAGGCCAGAGAACCGUGAAACCAAACUUGGCAAGUGCAAGAGAACAGGUCCCUGGGUGGCCUUGGCUCACCCAGUUCUUCCUCCCGUUGCUUGCAAUUCUCUUGCUGAAUGUCCUGAGAAUACAACAUCCUAAGAUAAGGACGAAAUGCCUGGAAAAAGUCCAGAUUAUGUCUUUGAUCCUCUGCAUUAGUCCAUUUUCAUGCUGCUGAGAAAGACAUACCUGAGACUGGGCAAUUUACCAAAGAAAGAGGUUUAAUUGGACUUACAGUUCUACAUGGCUGGGGAGACCUUACAAUAAUGGCUAAAGGCAAGGAGGAGCAAGUCACAUCUUAUGUGGAUGGUAGCAGACAAAUAGAGAGCUUGUGCAGAGAAACCCCCAUUUUUAAAACCAUCAGAUCUCUUGAGACCCAUUCACUAUCAUGAGAACAGCGCAGGGAAGACCUGUCCCCAUGAUUCAGUUGUCUCCCACUGGGUCCCUCCCACAGCAUGUGGGAAUUAUGGGAGCUACAAAAUGAGAUUUAUGUGGGGACACAGAGCCAAACCAUAUCAUUCUGUCCCUGGCCCCUCCCAAAUCUCCUAUCUUCACAUUUCCAGUUUCCAGUUUCCAGUUUCCAGUUUAAAAAUCAGUCAUGGCUUCCCAACAGUCCCCCAAGUCUGAACUCAUUUCAGCAUUAACUCAAAAGUCCACAGUCCAAAGUCUCAUCCUAGAUAAGGCAAAUGCCUUCUGCCUAUGAGCUCGUAAAAUCAAAAGCAAGUUAAUUACUUCCUAGAUUCAAUAGGGGUAUAGCCAUUGGGUAAAUAUAGCUAUUCCAAGUGGGAGAAAUUGGCCAAAACAAAGGGGCUACAAGCCCCAUGCAAGUCAGAAAUCCAGUGGGACAGUCAAAUCUUAAAGUUCCAAAAUGAUCUCCUUUGACUCCAUGUCUCACAUCCAGGUCAUGCUGAUGCAAGAGGUGGGUUCCCAUGGUCUUGGGCGGUGCUAUCCCUGUGGCUUUGCAGGGUACAGCCUCCCUCCCGGCUGCUUUCACAGGCCGACAUUGAGCGUCUGAGGCUUUUCCAAGCACACGAUGCAAGCUGUUAGUGGAUCUACCAUUUUGGGGUCUAGAAGACGGUGGCCCUUUUCUCACAGCUCCACUAUGUGGUGCCCCACUGGGCACAGGUACCAAUGGUAUUAAAAAGCUGUAGAGACACAUUUAAAAUUUAUACAUUCUACUCUAUUUUAUUUAUUCCUGAAAGCACUGAGAAAAAUACAAAAAUGCUGCAUAAAUUAAAAUAAGAUCAGCACUGAAAAGCAUCCAUUGGAAGGAGGCCGUUGAUUGCCUUCUUUGAGAAUAAUAAACGUGAAAUCAGUUUAGAUAGCAUAGAGAGAAAGAGAUGGAGACACUGAAUAUAGUUAAUUCUUUUAAGAAGAUUUGCUAUGAGGAAAAGGAAAACAGAUUUGAUGGCAGUAGGAGGGAAACGUGCACAUUUAUUCUUUAGGGCCAGAAGGGAAAGGAUGCCUCAUAGAUCUGAAAUUCUUUUAAUUUAUAGUUAUUAUGGGAAAAACUAAAAAAUCAGAAUAUUCAAAGCAUUUCCUUUUUUGUACAGUUUUAGAUUUACAGAAAAUUUAAGGGUAUAAUAAAGAGUAGUAGCAUCGAGUUCCAUAUACCUGCUUUUGCUUUCCCCUGCCCCCACCCCACCCUGUAUAGUUUCCCUUAUUAUUAAUAUCUUAUAUUAGUGUGGUACGUUUGUUACCAUUCAUGAACAAAAUUGCUAUAUUAUUAUUAACUGAAGCUCAUGGUUUACAUCAAGUUUCAAUCUUUCCAUUGUACAGUUUUAUGAGUUUUGGAAAAUGUGAAAAAUGCAUGAUGUCAUAUAUAUAUUAAUACCAUAACAGUUCAAUGCAGAAUAGUUUCAGCAUCCUAAAAAUUGCCUGUGCUUCACCUAUUCAUCCCUUCUCCAACCCUCUUUUUUUUUUUUUUUUGAGGCAGAAUCUCUCUCUCUCUCACCCAGGCUGGAGUGAAGUGGCACGAUCUCAGCUCACUGCAACCUCUGCCUCCCAGGUUCAAGUGAUUCUCCUGCCUCAGCCUCCUGAGUAGCUGGGAUUACAGACGCGUGCCACCACUCCUGGCUAAUUUUUGUAUUUUUAAUUGAGACUAGGUUUCACCAUGUUGGUCAGGCUGGUCUUGAACUCCUCACCUCAGGUUAUCCACCCACCUCAGCCUCCCAAAGUGCUGAGAUUACAGGCGUAAGCCAUCGCGCCCGGCUCCUCUUUUUGUUUAUAAAUAGAAAAAUUACCAAACUAUCUCCAAUCCUUAGAACCCCUGGUAACCAAUGAUGUUUUUACUGUCUCUACAGCUUUACCUUUUCCAGGAUGUUACAUAGUUGGAAUCAUACUUCUUUUAUCUUAAAAGUUAGCUCUGCACAUUUGCAGUCAAUCUUUUCUUUUACCCCCAGCAUCAGACAACUACUGAUCUGUUUUCUGACUCCAUAGUUUGUCUACUAUAAAAAUUUGUAUACAUAUAAUUAUACAAUAUGCAGAUCUUUAAAAUGGCUUUGUUAUUAGCAUAUUUAUCAAUUUCAUCUGUUUGUUGCAUGUAUCAGUAGUUUGUUCUUUUUAAUUGUUGAGUAGUACUCCAUGGUAUAUAUUUAUUUACUGCAGAUUUUGGAAGAACCAUUCUUGUUGUAUGUAUUUUUUAGGUUCCAAAAAUUUGUUACUGUUGUCACCUCUCUUCUUGUGAAUUUCUGUCGUUAUAACAUGCAGUUAUAGUGAAGCUUUUGAGACACUGAAAUUGAAGGUGUCUGCUAAAGCUACUCUUUAAACUCAGAAGUUUUUUUUUUUCCUUUACUUCAUAAGGUGAUAGGUGAAGACUUGUCCCAUCAUUUUACUGUGAGGAGAAUAAUUACUAUGACAUUUCAAGUAUGUAAAAUUAAAAUAUAUCUAAUGAAC
rnacentral:lncRNA from 1 species